rnacentral:rRNA from 1 species
CCUGCUCAAUGUAAAAUAAAUAGCCGCAGUACCCUGUGCUAAGGUAGCAUAAUAAUUUGUCUUAUAAUUUAAGAAUAGAAUGAAAGGAAAAACGAAUCGUAAACUUUUUCACAAUUAAACAAUUAAUCUUAUAUAAAAGUAAAAAAGCCUUUAAUAAAAGAAAAGACGACAAGACCCUUUCGAACUUGACAAAAAUGUUAAGCUGGGGAGGCUAAAAAAAUAAAAACUUAUUAAAAAUAUAAAACUAACUUACAAAAUAAAAUAAAACAAGUUACCAAAGGGAUAACAGCACAAUAUAUUAUAAAAGAUCAAAUAAAAUAACAAAAUUGUGACCUCGAUGUUGAAUUAUUAAAACUAAUUUAAGCAAAAAUAAAUAAAGUAAGUCUGUUCGACUUUUAAAAUAAUACAU